ensembl:snRNA U6 U6 spliceosomal RNA
GAACAAAUAUUGGUGCUCGCUUUGGCGGUUGGAACGAUACAGAGAUGAUUAGCAUAGCCCCUGCUCAAGGAUGACAUGCAAAUUCAUGAAGCAUUCUCUAUUUUA